rnacentral:lncRNA from 1 species
UUUGAGAAGGCGAACCCCUAGUUCUAGAAGAAGGGCCAGAACUAAGAGAAGUCACAGCAGAACCAUCACGAGCGGACCCCAAAUUACGAAGUCCACCUCUCAUUCUGCUCUUGAUUGGGGAAUUAGGGAAGAUAUCAACUAUGAGAAUUCUCCUAGGGUUAGGGUUUAAUGAAGAGAUAGUAAAGAAGAGAAGUAUGAUGAAGAAAUAAGCAGUGAUUCAGG